rnacentral:rRNA from 1 species
ACUCCUGCGGGAGGCAGCAGUGAGGAAUAUUGGACAAUGGGUGGAAGCCUGAUCCAGCCAUCCCGCGUGCAGGAAGACGGCCCUAUGGGUUGUAAACUGCUUUUAUCUGGGGAUAAACCUACUUACGUGUAAGUAGCUGAAGGUACCAGAAGAAUAAGCACCGGCUAACUCCGUGCCAGCAGCCGCGGUAAUACGGAGGGUGCAAGCGUUAUCCGGAUUUAUUGGGUUUAAAGGGUCCGUAGGCGGACUGAUAAGUCAGUGGUGAAAUCCGACAGCUUAACUGUCGAACUGCCAUUGAUACUGUUAGUCUUGAGUAAGGUUGAAGUGGCUGGAAUAAGUAGUGUAGCGGUGAAAUGCAUAGAUAUUACUUAGAACACCAAUUGCGAAGGCAGGUCACUAAGUCUUAACUGACGCUGAUGGACGAAAGCGUGGGGAGCGAACAGGAUUAGAAACCCCUGUAGUCCCAUGA